UACGGAGGGGGCGAGCGUUAUUCGGAAUUAUUGGGCGUAAAGGGCGCGUAGGCGGCUUGAUAAGUCAAAGGUGAAAUCCCUCGGCUCAACUGAGGAACUGCCUUUGAAACUGUCUGGCUUGAGGCCGGGAGGGGGUAGCGGAAUUCCCAGUGUAGCGGUGAAAUGCGUAGAUACUGGGAGGAACACCGGUGGCGAAGGCGGCUACCUGGACCGGUUCUGACGCUGAUGCGCGAAAGCGUGGGGAGCGAACAGG
rnacentral:rRNA from 1 species